AUCUGUCGCUGGUAUUAGCAACGAAAAAAAAAAAAAAUCCGUCGCUCAUAUCAGCAACGGAAAAAAAAAAUCCGUCUAUAACACUAGUAGAAAAAAUGAAAUAGGCACCGCAAAAUGCGCACCGAUUUUUAAGAACCGAUGCGAAAAAAAAUAGGCGGGAUUGAGGGAAAGACUUUUCGCACCGGUUUUAACCAACCGAUGCGAAAAAUGAGUUAAUAGCACCGAUGAUUGUUUGAGUUGAUUUAACUUUAUUUUUUCAAAUUUAUGUAGUUUUGAGUUGAUUUAAGUUUCUGGGUAAUGGUUUUUUGGAUAGUUUGUUGCUGAACUUUUGCGGAUUCAGAGAUAAUUUUUUUUUUCUCGAUCUGAAGUUUUCGAUUUUAUUCUAAUUCUAAUAUCGAUUUUCGUUUUAGUCCUCAAUCAUUUUAGCCCUUUAAUCGUUUUCAUGUUUAGUUUUGCUUUUAAUUUUCAGUUAUAUUAGAUCUAAUUUUUUUGAUUUUCAUUUGAAAAUUAAUCUAAAGUUGUGCGAUCUGUUCUGAUUUUGUGCGUUGAUGGUGUGGUUGUGGGUGUUUAGUGCGGUUGCUCUGAUUUUGUGCGCCGAUGGUGGAAGGCUGGAAGCGUUGCUGUAAUGGUGGCAGGAGAGGAAAUGGUGUUCGUGGUUGUAUAAGCUGUGCUGGAGGAACCACGCAUGGGCUUUAACAUUGAAGGAAAUCAAAUUUUAGACUUAUGAUGACAUUAUCUCAUAACAAGAAAGCGCCAAAGUGCCUGUUGGUUGAAAUUGAAGAAGUUCGUGUUAUCAAAAGUGCUGGUCGGAGAAAGCAAGGUGUUUUAGAUGCUCCAAGCACCAGGCCCAGCAAAACAGCAGCAACAGCCAGCACCAGGCAGGCACAACACCAGACAACAGCUGCAGAUAGCCAACAGGCUUUGCAAAACUAUGCCAACAACCAAACAGCAGCAACACAACAGCUGAAAGAGCAGGCAACAGAACAACAGCUACAGAGCCAACAGCUGACAGAGCAGACAACAAAACAACAGUAGCAAAAGUCAUAACAACAUCAAGUAGAAGUAGAACAGCAUAGCAGUGCAGAAGCAGGACAACAGUAGCAGUGUAGACAAAAGACACACAGCAGCCAGAACACCUUGCAACACACUGCAUGCAACAGAACAGGCAGGCAGAAGCAGAGACAAGCUAGCAGCAUGCAGCACAGAAACCAGCAGCCUCAACCAGCACACACCAGCCAGAGCCAAAGCAGUCAGAAACAGAAAGCAGUAGCCAGCAACAGCUAAAACACAUCCUGCAAACAGAAACCAGCAACCACACACAAAGCAAGCAACACAGCCUACAGAAAACAGCAGCUUAAACAGCAACAAAACACCAGCAGCCUAAACCGGAAGCUGCACAGCCACCUGACUUAAAUCAAAAGGUAUUUCCUUGUGCCCACUGAGCACCUACAAGCAACUCUAAACUUAUGACUGGAUUACUGAUGGAAUUUUCAAGUGUUGGUUUAGAUUGCAACAUUGGUAUGCUUAGGGUGUAACUCUGGUUUUAAGUUGCAACACAUGCUGAUUUUAAGUUAGAAAAAGCCAAAACUAAAGAUGUUGAAGUGCUGGUUAAUUGUAAUAUUAUAGCCUUUUUUUUAAUGAAAAUAUGUAACUUUAUAUAUACGUUAGUGUUUCUAUAUCAAUUUAAGUGAAAAAAAAGCA